ensembl:lncRNA
GCGAAAGCUGUUUUCCUCUUUACAAGGAUGGACGAAUGUUCGAAGCAGCGCAGAAAGACUGUGGGGUCCGCUCCACCCCGCAGGGACCACCUCCAGGGCGGGAGCCAGGUCCUGGGCCCCUCUCCGUGGAGGACGCUAUCCCUGGCCUGACCCUGUGGGAGGCGGGACCCUGGGUGCCCUUGUGGGGAUCUUUCCUGGAAGGUGCUUGUUGGGGUGCUUACGGCACUCAUGUGUGUGCACCUGUCUGUGUGGCUGUGUGCAUGUGUGCCUUCUGCACAUGUGGGCUUGUGUGCAUGUGUGUGCACGUGUGUGUCGGCCUUUGGUCUCAGCCCUGCUUCCAUAGUGACACCAUCACUUGCAGCCGAGGUGGUGGGGAAGGCAGGGUCCAUCCCACCCACCUUCCAGGCCAGAGGCCACCAGCUCACCAAGGGAUCCUGACCACUGAGACAGCCACGAGCUCUCCAAGACCACCCCCAAACCCCGUCCCUCGGGCCCUCCUUUUGGAGGGGGGGGCAUCUCCCUGGGUCAGAGGCCCGUGUGUCCCAGCAGAGCCUGAGGGCCUGGGCAGGAGCCUGCAAUCAGAGGACGAGUCCACCUCCUGCCACCCUGGAGCCUGGGAGAAGCCCCCGAGAGAGAGUGGGACGUGGGUGACCGGCCAGGACCCUGAAGCCUCUGUGCGGCUGGGGGAGCAGGGACAGCUAUGUUCUAACCGGCAUGUGGGUUAUGUCUCCCAAGACGUUGGGCCUCGCCACCUUCGUCCACCGUCCUUGGUCAGCAAAGCCUCAUUUCAGGCUGUGAGGGGUGGCUGAGGCUCGGGACGUGUGGAAGCUGCACCCUUGGGUGACCGCAGCUUGCCUGUGGGACCCUUCUGUUUCCAAACUGCCCGCUGACCCCAAGGACGAGCCUCCCUUGAAGACCUGCUGGGAGGAGCCCACAGGCGGUGAGGCUGUGGUCAGCGCCCCUGGGCCCAUCCUGACCCUCUGGAUCGUGGUCCACUCAGUGACCGGCUCCCGCUCCCUCCACCACCCCCACAGCAGUCAGCCCUGCCUGCAUACAGCCCGUCCUUCAGUGUCUGAUGAAUUUAUUAUUAAGUACACAACAACCACCUGAAGCUUAUGACAACUAAAGCACAAGAUCCAUUCCCAAAAAUGACUGCUCACCCCAAACCACCUGUUUUUGUAAGUCUCCAUGUUUGGCAGUCACACUUUCUAACCAGCUGCACUGCAGAGCCUCUGGAAGCACAGACCUGCCACCUGCGGCUGCCCCUCGACAGCGGGCGGCACACCAAGGAUUCUGGCAGCCCUUUGGCUCAGGGCCACCUGCUCUUCCCCGGAGAGCUGCACCUAAAUGACGACUCCCAUAGGGCGCUGUCAGUCACCACGGCCCCACCAGACACUGCAGCCUUGGCUAGCUUGUCUCGGGGGGCAGCGGUGAGUGUGGCCCCUCCACCUGCAGCCCCUGGGGCCCAGCUCUGGCAGGAACCCUGGGCCGGGGAAACUUCCAGAAGCUCCGCCCAGCACAGCAGCUGAAGUCAGCUGGGGACUGGAGCGAGGCUCCGGCCAGCCAGCAUGUUACUCUGGCUCCAUGCUGCAGAGACGGAGCACCAGGUGAGGGCUAGGCUAGGAAGCACCUGGCCCUCGCUGCAGGAACCUCCUGGGGCUGCUGCUCUCUGCACAUCCAUGCUUGCUGGGAGUGCCCACCCCUUCCUGCACCCAGGCCAGGUCGUUGACCGACCACCCUGCUCCAUGGGCAGGGUCCUUCUCACCAAGCAUCGUGGGGGUCACUGACCUGUGCUGCCAGAGUCCCCACUGCCGUCCAUCCUGCUCACCAAGGGGCCGCACUGUGGUCCAGCCUGUUCCCAGC